rnacentral:rRNA from 1 species
CCUGAUGCAGCGACGCCGCGUGAGCGAUGAAGGCCUUCGGGUCGUAAAGCUCUGUCCUAAGGGAAGAUAAUGACGGUACCUUAGGAGGAAGCCGCGGCUAACUACGUGCCAGCAGCCCCGGUAAUACGUAGGGGGCGAGCGUUAUCCGGAAUUAUUGGGCGUAAAGGGUGCGUAGGCGGCCUUGUAAGUCAGGUGUGAAAGGCUACGGCUCAACCGUAGUUAGCACUUGAAACUGCAGGGCUUGAGUGCAGGAGAGGAGAGUGGAAUUCCUAGUGUAGCGGUGAAAUGCGUAGAUAUUAGGAGGAACACCAGUGGCGAAGGCGACUCUCUGGACUGUAACUGACGCUGAGGCACGAAAGCGUGGGGAGCGAACAGGAUUAGAUACCCUGGUAGUCCACGCCGUAAACGAUGAGUACUAGGUGUUGGGGUCGACAGGCUUCAGUGCCGCAGUUAACACAUUAAGUACUCCGCCUGGGGAGUACGGUCGCAAGACUGAAACUCAAAGGAAUUGACGGG